rnacentral:rRNA from 1 species
GAUGAACGCUAGCGGCAGGCUUAACACAUGCAAGUCGAGGGGUAUUGGUUUUCGGACCAAGAGACCGGCGCACGGGUGCGUAACGCGUAUGCAAUCUACCUUUUGCAGAGGGAUAGCCCCAGAGAAAUUUGGAUUAAUACCUCAUAGUAUAGUACUUUGGCAUCAAGGAACUAUUAAAGUCACAACGGCAAAAGAUGAGCAUGCGUCCCAUUAGCUAGUUGGUAAGGUAACGGCUUACCAAGGCUACGAUGGGUAGGGGUCCUGAGAGGGAGAUCCCCCACACUGGUACUGAGACACGGACCAGACUCCUACGGGAGGCAGCAGUGAGGAAUAUUGGACAAUGGGCGCAAGCCUGAUCCAGCCAUGCCGCGUGCAGGAUGACGGUCCUAUGGAUUGUAAACUGCUUUUUA